rnacentral:rRNA from 1 species
ACGGGUGAGUAACACGUGGGUGAUCUGCCCUGCACUUCGGGAUAAGCUUGGGAAACUGGGUCUAAUACCGGAUAGGACCAUGGUUUAGCAUCUCAUGGUGGAAAAAUAUUGUUUUGGUGUAGGAUGAGCCCGCGGCCUAUCAGCUUGUUGGUGGGGUAAUGGCCUACCAAGGCGUCGACGGGUAGCCGGCCUGAGAGGGUGGACGGCCACAUUGGGACUGAGAUACGGCCCAGACUCCUACGGGAGGCAGCAGUGGGGAAUAUUGCACAAUGGGCGCAAGCCUGAUGCAGCGACGCCGCGUGGGGGAUGACGGCCUUCGGGUUGUAAACUCCUUUCCUUAGGGACGAACCCGCACUUUUUUGGGUGUGGGGCCGCUUACUUUGUUUUGAAGAAAUUGCUGCUACCUGAAUACAAGCCCCGGGCUACUACGUGUGCAGAGCCCGCGGUAGAACGUAGGUGGCGAGCGAGUUUGCAAAAUUAUUGGGCGCACAACACGCGCAGUCCGCCUAUCCAGUCUGUCUUGAAAGGUCGGGGCUCAACCCCGUGAUGGGAUUGAGGCUAAUCGGCUACACUAUCGUAAAGGACAGCGGAAUUCCUAAGUAGCAAUGAUAUGCCUACAUAUUAAGAAAGAACCCCGGCGAUGAGCGCGGCGUUCUGGGACGACACUGACGGUGAGGCGCAAAAUCCAGCGUAGCAGAACGGCAUUAUAUACCCCCAGGUUCAUGACCGUAAC